UCUUGGUACCCCACCUAAACUUUGUUUUAUACUCUGACUUCAGGGAAGAACUCAUCUGAAUCCUGGACAAUGCUGGGCCUUUGCAGGAUUCCCAGGACGUUUAUCCGUCCAACUGUCCCACAAAGCAACUGUCACUCAUGUGUCGCUGGGUCAUAUUCCUAAGAUAAUAUCCCCAUCUUCCACAAUCUCCAGUGCUCCGAGGGAAUUCUCUGUCUUUGGAAAGAAGGACAUAAAUGAUGAGGAGAGUUUUUUGGGAGCUUUCCAAUAUGAAGAAGAUGGCAGCAGGAUACAGACCUUCAAACUUCCUGAUUAUAAAACUGACUCCUUCACCCAUGUGAGCCUACAGGUGAACAGCAACUGGGGCCAUCCAGACUACACAUGCCUCUACAACUUUAGAGUGCAUGGAGUACUUGCUGCAUGAAGAGGACACAAUCUUUCAUAUAUGUAUUGU